UGAGGAAUAUUGGUCAAUGGGCGGGAGCCUGAACCAGCCAAGUCGCGUGAGGGAUGACGGUCCUACGGAUUGUAAACCUCUUUUGCCGGGGAGCAAGCGUGCGUUCGUGAACGCGCGUCGAGAGUACCCGGAGAAAAAGCAUCGGCUAACUCCGUGCCAGCAGCCGCGGUAAUACGGAGGAUGCGAGCGUUAUCCGGAUUUAUUGGGUUUAAAGGGUGCGUAGGCGGGAUGCCAAGUCAGCGGUAAAAAUGCGGUGCUCAACGCCGUCGAGCCGUUGAAACUGGCGUUCUUGAGUGGGCGAGAAGUAUGCGGAAUGCGUGGUGUAGCGGUGAAAUGCAUAGAUAUCACGCAGAACUCCGAUUGCGAAGGCAGCAUACCGGCGCCCUACUGACGCUGAGGCACGAAAGCGUGGGUAUCGAACAGG
rnacentral:rRNA from 1 species